rnacentral:rRNA from 1 species
UACGAAGGGGGCUAGCGUUGUUCGGAUUUACUGGGCGUAAAGCGCACGUAGGCGGUUUGUUAAGUCAGGGGUGAAAUCCCAGAGCUCAACUCCAGAACUGCCUUUGAUACUGGCGAUCUCGAGUCCGGGAGAGGUGAGUGGAACUCCGAGUGUAGAGGUGAAAUUCGUAGAUAUUCGGAAGAACACCAGUGGCGAAGGCGGCUCACUGGCCCGGUACUGACGCUGAGGUGCGAAAGCGUGGGGAGCAAACAGG